AUUGAACGCUGGCGGCAGGCCUAACACAUGCAAGUCGAGCGGAUGACGGGAGCUUGCUCCUUGAUUCAGCGGCGGACGGGUGAGUAAUGCCUAGGAAUCUGCCUGGUAGUGGGGGACAACGUUUCGAAAGGAACGCUAAUACCGCAUACGUCCUACGGGAGAAAGCAGGGGACCUUCGGGCCUUGCGCUAUCAGAUGAGCCUAGGUCGGAUUAGCUAGUUGGUGGGGUAAUGGCUCACCAAGGCGACGAUCCGUAACUGGUCUGAGAGGAUGAUCAGUCACACUGGAACUGAGACACGGUCCAGACUCCUACGGGAGGCAGCAGUGGGGAAUAUUGGACAAUGGGCGAAAGCCUGAUCCAGCCAUGCCGCGUGUGAGAGGAAGGUCUUCGGAUUGUAAAGCACUUUAAGUUGGGAGGAAGGGCAGUAAGCUAAUACCUUGCUGUUUUGACGUUACCGACAGAAUAAGCACCGGCUAACUCUGUGCCAGCAGCCGCGGUAAGAC
rnacentral:rRNA from 1 species